rnacentral:misc_RNA from 1 species
GAUGAAGAACGUAGCAAAAUGCGAUAAGUAAUGUGAAUUGCAGAAUUCAGUGAAUCAUCGAAUCUUUGAACGCACAUUGCGCCCGCCAGUAUUCUGGCGGGCAUGCCUGUUCGAGCGUCAUUUCAACCCUCAAGCACAGCUUGGUGUUGGGACUCGCGUUAAUUCGCGUUCCCCAAAUUGAUUGGCGGUCACGUCGAGCUUCCAUAGCGUAGUAGUAAAACCCUCGUUACUGGUAAUCGUCGCGGCCACGCCGUUAAACCCCAACUUCUGAAUGUUGACCUCGGAUCAGGUAGGAAUACCCGCUGAACUUAAGCAUAUCAAUAAGCAGGA